ensembl:lncRNA
CGUUGUCUGGCAUGUGCUGAAGUCUGGGUUGCUCUUUGUUGCUCGCCAGUACCGUGUGUGUGUGAGCAAACUAUACUAAGGAGAAUGUCAGACCUGACCCAGACCUGGUGAGCCCAGAGUCCUACCUGCUGAUGCACCGGUGCCUUGAGCCGAGGAGGCUGAACUGGUUACACGGAGUGGUCAGCAGGGCAGCCACUGCUCUUUUUCUCCGACUAUAGUUUUAUUUUAGUAUUCUGCUCUAGUGCCUCCAUCUUGCCCUCUAUUUAUAAAAAUAACAAACUGAUAUUGUGCCUUUUUGAUGACCGUUUCUUCCCCCUUCCCCACUUCUAUUGUGUUGUGUAUACUUACCAGGAUAAUUAAUAGUAUUUGUUUGUGCCCAACAUAAUCCGCAGUGCUAUUUGUUUGCAGUGGUGGUUAUUUUAGCCUUCCUUAACAGUGUGCAGUGUUUUUAUUGUUGGAAGUGUCAUUGUUGCCCCCGGUCCAUCACUAUUGGUAUACAUUAUUUUGAUGUGUUUUUAUAAAGGAAUUGUUUAAAUACAAGUGAUAUUGCACUGUACACGCAGAAGCCUCUGUCCGUCUAUGGUUUAUCUUGCAUAGGGUUUUUGGCCAGUAAAAUAAUUUCAUUCAGGGUCUCUCCCCUCAAAGAGAGUGGCGUUGUCACGUCUGGAUAUUAUUCCAAAGUAUUUUAAGUGUCCAUUUGGUCACAUAUAAUUUUGUAUUGCAGAGUUGUUAAAUCAUUAUUUUAAUUUAUUUUGUAUAUUCCUGUUUAUUGAAUGAACUGUGUGUUUUGAGACCUGACAUAGCCGAAAUCACAGAGAUUGACAGGCCGUGCAUAUGACCAGAACAGACUGACAGGUUGAUCAUUACUGUUACUGACACUUUUUAUCCAAAGCGACUAAGGUUACAAUAAGUGCAUUUCAAACAUAAGGGUGCAAACUCAACAUAAACAUAAGUGCAAUUUCAUCAUGGGAAGGUGGCGAC